rnacentral:rRNA from 1 species
AACGAACGCUGGCGGCAUGCCUAACACAUGCAAGUCGAACGAAGGCUUCGGCCUUAGUGGCGCACGGGUGCGUAACGCGUGGGAAUCUGCCCUUUGGUUCGGAAUAACAGCUGGAAACGGCUGCUAAUACCGGAUGAUGACGAAAGUCCAAAGAUUUAUCGCCAGAGGAUGAGCCCGCGUUGGAUUAGGUAGUUGGUGGGGUAAAGGCCUACCAAGCCGACGAUCCAUAGCUGGUCUGAGAGGAUGAUCAGCCACACUGGGACUGAGACACGGCCCAGACUCCUACGGGAGGAAGCAGUGGGGAAUAUUGGACAAUGGGCGCAAGACUGAUCCAGCAAUGCCGCGUGAGUGAUGAAGGCCCUAGGGUUGUAAAGCUCUUUUACCCGGGAAGAUAAUGACUGUACCGGGAGAAUAAGCCCCGGCUAACUCCGUG